AAAAAGUGUAAAUCCUAUGCUGUGUUCAAAAUGAUGCAGAAGCUGUGUUCCAAUUUGUUUGCAUGUUGCAGUCAGGUCAGAUAGAGUUCUAUUUAACAGGUUUUCAUCAAUAAUCCAUUCACAUAGGGCUGGGGCUCUGCCCAAAACUAAUGCAAGCAUAAAAGGAAUUUGUCCAAGAUGAGAAAACUUACACUGCGAUUUAAAGUGUGAUUUGGGAGACUUUUGAGGGCCUGUAUUAAUUCAUUUCAGGUUGAAAAAUAAAACUUCAGAGACAUUUCUCCCUGCAGGAUUGUAAAAAAAUUACAGCGCAGGCAGAGAAGACUUAAAGAGCCAGGAUGAGGAAGUCAGUACAGGUGGGGAUCGGUAACAGUGGGAAGAGGCCACAAGAAACAGUCCCCUUCGGGCCAUCUGGACCAAGCUGAGUACUAGAGGAGCUGGUUGGAAACAAUCCAAGCGGUCUUGUCCUGUAAGAACAGCUCUGAAACGGACACCACUAGAGAAAUUUCACUUCGGAGGUAACACACGCACUGCUCUUAGGCCCUCACUCUCCUCGAAGGGUGCCAGAGUAUCAGUUCCCUUCUCUCAGCGUCAGCACGGCGACUUUUGCACCUUCCCGGCAUGCCCCGCACCUUCCCGGCAUGCCCCACCGCGGCUCGCACAGCAAGAUCUCUUUGGUUUGGGAAGUGGGCUUGUGUGUGGUAACAAGACUAUUUCAAGUGAAAAAAGGACAUCCAACUGCAAAGUCCUGGAGAUGCUAUUCAACUUCCGGUUUGGUGUUGAGAUUACUGAUGAAGAGUUUGAGUUGCUACUUGACAGAAUCCCCCUUGAUGAAGAUGGAAAUGUCAGAUAUCCCCAUUUCAUGGCUAUGUUUGACUCUUGGUGCUCCUUUUUCACAUUUUCUCAUUCCUUAGUAGUUUUCUGUUCCUGUCGUUUUUAGUACAGAGAAUGGAC
rnacentral:lncRNA from 1 species